AGAUAUUUACAUUUCAGCUAGCCUUCAAAAUGCAGAGAAGGAAGAAAUAUACAUUUAGUUUUGCAUUUGCCUUUUAGAAAUACAACUAUGAAAGAAAAUUUAGAUAAAAUAAUCUAGGGCAUUUUAUGGGUAUUAUUGACAUUUAAAAAUUAAGAUAUACUAAAUCUAUGAAAAUGUGUUUUGCCUCUGAUUAGGCUAGCAUAAUGGAA
rnacentral:lncRNA from 1 species